UACGAAGGGGGCUAGCGUUGCUCGGAAUCACUGGGCGUAAAGGGUGCGUAGGCGGGUCUUUAAGUCAGGGGUGAAAUCCUGGAGCUCAACUCCAGAACUGCCUUUGAUACUGAGGAUCUUGAGUUCGGGAGAGGUGAGUGGAACUGCGAGUGUAGAGGUGAAAUUCGUAGAUAUUCGCAAGAACACCAGUGGCGAAGGCGGCUCACUGGCCCGAUACUGAUGCUGAGGCACGAAAGCGUGGGGAGCAAACAGG
rnacentral:rRNA from 1 species